rnacentral:rRNA from 1 species
UACGGGGGGGGUAAGCGUUGUUCGGAAUUACUGGGCGUAAAGGGCUCGUAGGCGGCCAACUAAGUCGGACGUGAAAUCCCUCAGCUUAACUGGGGAACUGCGUCUGAUACUGGAUGGCUUGGAUUUGGGAGAGGGAUGCGGAAUUCCAGGUGUAGAGGUGAAAUUCGUAGAUAUUCGCAAGAACACCAGUGGCGAAGGCGGCUCACUGGCCCGGUACUGACGCUGAGGUGCGAAAGCGUGGGGAGCAAACAGG